rnacentral:rRNA from 1 species
CAAACGGAGAGUUUGAUCCUGGCUCAGGACGAACGCUGGCGGCGUGCCUAACACAUGCAAGUCGAACGAAAUUACGAAGAAAGCUUGCUUUAAUCGUAAUUUAGUGGCGGACGGGUGAGUAACGCGUGAGGACUUGUCGGAUACAGGGGGACAACAGAUGGAAACGUCUGCUAAUACCCCAUAAGCCUUUUGGUAAAAGGAGCAAUCCGGUAUCUGAGAGACUCGCGUUCUAUCAGCUAGUAGGUGGGGUAACGGCCCACCUAGGCCAAGACGGAUAGCCGGACUGAGAGG